UACAGAGGUCUCAAGCGUUGUUCGGAUUCAUUGGGCGUAAAGGGUGUGUAGGUGGCGCGCUAAGUCGGGUGUGAAAUUUCGGAGCUUAACUCCGAAACUGCAUUCGAUACUGGCGUGCUUGAGGACUGGAGAGGAGACUGGAAUUCAUGGUGUAGCAGUGAAAUGCGUAGAGAUCAUGAGGAAGACCAGUGGCGAAGGCGGGUCUCUGGACAGUUCCUGACACUGAGACACGAAAGCGUGGGUAGCAAGCAGG
rnacentral:rRNA from 1 species